AUGGUGCUGUGCUUCCUGCCUCUCCUCCUUCUCCCAGGGGUUUUGGUGCCAGCUUCCAGGGCGCAACCUGUGCUGACUCAGCCGGCCUCCAUUUUAGUGUUACUGGGACAAACGGUGAAACUCUCUUGUGUCUUGAAUCCUGGUUACAACAUCCGGGAUUUUGGGGUCGCCUGGUACCAGCAGAGACCUGGCAGCCCUCCAAGGUACCUGCUGUAUUACAACUCGGAGGUGGACAAGGACAAGCCCUCCGGAAUUCCGGACCGCUUCUCUGCGUCCAAAGACCUCGCCAGCAACGCCUGCGUUCUGACCAUCGCCGGGGUCCAGGCUGAGGACUACGCUGAUUAUUACUGCUUGGUCGCAUAUCCCGUCUACUAUCACUAG